UGUAUAUCGUUAUCACUGUGCAGUUGCUGUUUACUUGAAUAGUAUUGUGUUCCUAUAUUCCAGGUUUAAGUAGAUUUCAUGCCUGGGUGGCCAAACAACAGUCUUCAUUUUUUUUAAUUGAAAAGAAGUAGUGUCUGGAUCAGUAAAAUUAUACUGUGUGUGAGUGUGAAUAUAAAUGUGUGUAUGUGUGUUUCUGUCCUGUAACUGUUACAGUAAUGUCAUAAAGUGAGAAAACUGUGACCAAGUAUAAACUUUUACCACUUGCUGCACUCUUGCACAUGGAUUCAGUUUCUAAAAUUGAGUUCUUCCUGUAAUCUUGUUGAUAAAAAUACUGACUCCAACCAUUCAAAAAUUUCACCCCAUCCCUCCUUAAGAGAUUGGAUCAAGUAUUACUAAAUUGACCUUUAGGUAUUACACAAGACCAGUGCUUAGCAAAAAAUAAUGACAGGCAUCCAAGGAAGGGAUGUAUUUGUAGUGUUAUUGCCAGGAAAGGAGAGUACUUUGGUUUCUGAGCACCGAAUAUUGAGCAAUAUGUCAGUCACUAAAAGGAAGACAGUUCUACAGAAAAACAAUGGUAACAUUUUUCAAUAGCGUGUGUAGAUAGUAUGCACUAUAUACAUCACGUUAAAGUAGGACUAUCACACCCAGCCCAUGUGGCUAAAAAAGCUGAAUCAGACAGUGGAUGAGACACACAACGGCAGUGAAGAACCGAUACACUUGGCAUUGACGUCUAGCUAUGCUGUAUCUGUGCUUUGCCCACAUGCCCUUGGUGACAGCUGAGCACCCAGCUCUGUCUUGGUAGGUUUGGGCUAAGGAACAAAUCUCUCCUUUGCUCGUGGUUAGCAAGAUACACUCAAGCAUGAAGAUAAACACAGCUGCUUUCUUCUUACACCCCGGUCUCAUGCUCCUUAAUGGCGCCAUGGGUGCUUGUUGGGCCUUUUUCCAGUAAGGAAUGAUAUUGCUGAAGAAUCUACUUAACCCUGACAAAUUUUAAUUAUAAUCUCUUCUUAUACAGAUAAAACAUGACUCCUACAAGGCCCCAAGGUUUACAUAGUCUGAAGUGAAGUACAGAGCUGGCAUCUAUCUGGUGAUUUCUAGCUCUCGAGAUACCCAAGCAGCCUGAUGGGGCAGUUCCCCUUCUUACGGUUCACGCUCUAAGGCAGGAUGUGGCUUAUGAGAUACUUUGCAUUGUCUGUCUGCACACCUUGAAUCUGCCUGCUGGCUCCCUUACUUUACCUCUCUGUCAUGUGCAGAUGAAGGCUCAGGGUGCUAGAGGAUUAGUAAGAUCUCUUUCUAAAGACAGGAGAGAUUAUUUACAAGAAGAACUCACCAGGGUUUAGUUUGCAUUUAAGAAUUGCCAGUCUUUUGUCCUGCAUCAUCUUGAACAUUAAUCCACAUGUUUCAGAGCUCACCAGGCAGUACCAAUGCUCUUUUCACAGCUAUGAAGAGCUAGAGAAAUUCUUGUUAUGGUAGAAAAAUUUCACGAUUCAUUUUUGAAACUGCAUUUGUGCGUAUGCAGUGUAGAUUUUAUAGUGUGUUGUGCUUUCAAGAUCUAAAUCAUAUAUAAUAAAUUAAGGGACAAUGGGGCUGACAGCACUAAACUUGGUGCUUAUUGAUAUUCUAAGAAAUAUCUGUGAAAUAUCAUCACGUAUGUUAUACAACCUUCAUUUAAAAAGGUUUAAAACUAGUUAGAUUCACUUUGACACUUUUCAUAUCAUUUCUUAACCCAAGUGACGAAAACAUUGUCCCCAAUGAAUAUACUCAUUAGAAUUACCAUUUGUUAAUAUCACUCAUUAAUUAACCCCAUAAUUAGAUCCAUUAAUUUAAAUGAUUUAAAUUUAAGUAAGUUUUAUAAGGUCUGACAUCAGAGGUAUCUUACUUUCCUCUGAGGAUGAUGUACUUGCCCUGACCAUGCAUUUUACCAUCACACAUGUUCAGAAAGGGCCAAAUUCCCAACCUGCUCAUUUUUUUUUUAUCAGAGUCAUGAUGAAUCAGUCCUAGAAUGUUUCAUUUGCACAAGUAGGGCUGCCUCCAAGAGGAACCUCUGAUUUAUUUUGUAUGAAAUAUAUGUGAAAGGAUAUGAAUCUGAGAGAUGCUGUAGACAUCUGUCCUACACUUGAGAUGAUUUCCAAGCCUCUCUGGCACUUUGAGUUAAGUCUAUCUGGUAUUAAAUGCCAAGGACCUUUUGCUGCCUAAAUCCACUCUGCAGGAAAUAGGCCCAACCACCAGAUGAGAAUUAGGCCCUGGAUGAGUAGCGCUAUAGUUACUGUCCUGUUGAUUAAUUUCUGCCAUUUCAUGUCCAUAAAAGAGACCACCCAUAUCAUGCACACAAUUAGAUUUCUCACACUCUAACUGUAUAUUUGUAUGAUAUUUUAAAAUCUCCUAAAUGCUGGGCAAUGGCUAUUAACAAUUAAUUGUCUUGCACUGGCCUUCUGAUGAAAUGUUAACAAUGCCUAUUGUAAUAUAGAAAAAAACAUUCUAUCUACUGAUUUGGGCUGAAUGUAUGUAAAUAGGUUUCUAAAAAGUCAGAUGUUUGAGCAGUGGCCUACAAAUCAGUAAUUUUCGGAUGGGAGAGUUUCUUUACAUUGCCGUGGCAUCUUAAAAGCUAUCUUCAUGUAAAUUGACUGUACUAGGCCUACUGGGGAUCAGAGUUCCCAAGAAAGGAAACCUUUUCUUGUAUCUGGAUUCAAAUUUAUUUCCAAUGUUUCAAGCGGGAAACAUGACUCUUUAUUGUCUGUAAAUCUAACAUUAUUACUUUUCCUCUUAGAAGAAUAUUGUAUUGUUAGAUGUUUGUUGAGCUGGUAACAUCGUUGCAACCACUGCAAUAUCUUCGUUAGUAAUCUGUAUAAUACUUUGUAUACAAGUACUGGUAAGAUUGUUAUUAAAUGUAGCUUCAGUCAUUAAAUUACUAUAGCAAAGUAGUACUUCUUCUGUAAUAUUUACAAUGUAUUAAGCCCACAGUAUAUUUUAUUUCAAUGUAAUUAAACUGUUAACUUAUUCAAAGAGAAAA
rnacentral:lncRNA from 10 species